CCUACGGGGGGCUGCAGUGGGGAAUAUUGGACAAUGGGGGGAACCCUGAUCCAGCCAUGCCGCGUGUGUGAAGAAGGCCCUCGGGUUGUAAAGCACUUUCAGUGAGGAAGAACGCCUGGUGGUUAAUACCCAUCAGGAAAGACAUCACUCACAGAAGAAGCACCGGCUAACUCCGUGCCAGCAGCCGCGGUAAUACGGAGGGUGCGAGCGUUAAUCGGAAUUACUGGGCGUAAAGCGCGCGUAGGUGGCUUGAUAAGCCGGUUGUGAAAGCCCCGGGCUCAACCUGGGAACGGCAUCCGGAACUGUCAAGCUAGAGUGCAGGAGAGGAAGGUAGAAUUCCCGGUGUAGCGGUGAAAUGCGUAGAGAUCGGGAGGAAUACCAGUGGCGAAGGCGGCCUUCUGGACUGACACUGACACUGAGGUGCGAAAGCGUGGGUAGCAAACAGGAUAGAUACCCUGGUAGUC
rnacentral:rRNA from 1 species